rnacentral:rRNA from 1 species
GAUGAACGCUGGCGGCGUGCCUAAUACAUGCAAGUCGAGCGAACGGACGAGAAGCUUGCUUCUCUGAUGUUAGCGGCGGACGGGUGAGUAACACGUGGAUAACCUACCUAUAAGACUGGGAUAAUUUCGGGAAACCGGAGCUAAUACCGGAUAAUAUUUUGAACCGCAUGGUUCAAAAGUAAAAGACGGUCUUGCUGUCACUUAUAGAUGGAUCCGCGCUGCAUUAGCUAGUUGGUAAGGUAACGGCUUACCAAGGCAACGAUGCAUAGCCGACCUGAGAGGGUGAUCGGCCACACUGGAACUUAGACACGGUCCAGACUCCUACGGGAGGCAGCAGUAGGGAAUCUUCCGCAAUGGGCGAAAGCCUUACGGAGCAACGCCGCGUGUGUGAUGAAGGUCUUCGGAUCGUAAAACUCUGUUAUUAGGGAAGAACAUAUGUGUAAGUAACUGUGCACAUCUUGACGGUACCUAAUCAGAAAGCCACGGCUAACUACGUG